rfam:Schistosoma haematobium scaffold2496_6, whole genome shotgun sequence.
GUCGGUGACCGUACCACGUUGGAAGCGCCGGUUCUCGUCCGAUUACCGCAGUUAAACAACGUUGACAUUAAUCAAUACUUGCAUCGGUCGACCAGCUGAGAAUAACGCGUGUCUCUGGCU